AAAAGAGAGAGAGAGAAAUGGGGUCUCGCUCUGUUUCCCAGGCAAGUCAUAGUGCACUGCAGCCUCCAACUCCUGUGCUCAAGGGAUCCUCCCAUCUUCCCCUCCUGAGUAGCUGGGAUUACAGAUGUGCGCCACUGUGUCCAGCUCAUAAUAUCCUUCCGAAAGGAUUAUUGCACAAAUUCAGUUCAAUAAUAUAUGUAAGAAGCCCAGUACCUGGCGUAUAACAGAGGCUCACUUUUAAUGCCUGUUAUACUUUUACAGAAAAUCAAAGGGCAAAGUGGAAAUGUACCACAGCUUCCAGCAUUAGACAGGCCUGGAUUUGAAUCCUAACAACACUGGCUUUGGGCAAAUCACUUCACCCACCUUCUAGAGUUAUUGUGAGAGGUGAUUGAAAUAAUGCCUAUAAAUCACCUGGUAUCUAGCCCAUGUCCUACAAAUGACCACUGUUACAACUGACCAUUUGCAUCCGGGGCUAUAGGGGACCCCCUCAUCCCCAGGGGCAGCGUCUUUGGGGGCUAGCCCUUGGUCCCUGGACACAGGUUAGGAUAGCUGGCUCUCAGGCUUCAGAGAGUCCUUUUCCAAAGGAGUGAAUCGAGUACUCACUUGGGAUUUCCCAUUUCCAAAUAUUCACCAGUUCCCCUGUCUCCAAAUAUUGCACAGAGGCCAUCAAUGAUAGGGGCGUUAAUGUCCAGCGGAACUGUUCCCAAGGCAGAGGGAGAAUGGACACUGUGUGUAAACACUUUACUCCACACAGGGGAGAGGCUGUACAGGGGCUCUGGAGUCAAGACUCAAAUUCAAAUCCUGGCUCUCCCAUUUCUGUACUAACUGCGACAUAGGACAAAUUACUUGGCCUUUGUAAGCCUACUUUCUCAUCUGUAAUUGGGAACAAUGAUAGUACUAGUGCUAAAUAUGAAAAGCUCUUAGCAUAGUACCUGGCACACAGAAAAUAUCGAUCCAUUUUAUCUAUUAUUAUCACUACUUCUAUUAUUUUUACAGCCAGAUCCCAAUGUUUUCACAAUAAUCCAUAUAUAGCUCACAUUCCUACCUAGACAUGCUCAGGAAGGGGCAGCAUGCCUGUGAAAAAAAUUGCUUAUUUUCACUUUUAUGUACUUUCAAAGGUUUCUUUAGCAAGCACUGGGGACUAGGUAAUAUAGAAAACUUUCAAAAGAGGGAGAGGAGAGGGAGAGGAGUCGGGGGUAAGGGAUGAGAAAGGAGAAAAGACAGGAGAAGCAACGGAAGAAGGAGAAAUUUAAAAACUCAAGCUGAGGCCAGGUGCGGUGGCUCAUGCCUGUAAUCCCAGCACUUUGGGAGGCCGAGGUGGAUCACCUGAGGUCAGGAGUUCGAGACCAGCCUGGCCAGCAUGGCAAAAUUCCGUCUGUACUAAAACCACAAAAAUUAGCCGGGCGUGGUGGCGGGUGCCUGUAAUCCCAGCUACUUGAGAGGCUGAGGCAGGAGAAUCGCUUGAACCCAGGAGGCGGAGGUUGCAGUGAGCCGAGAUUGCGGCUCUGCACUCCAGCCUGGGUGACAGAGUGAGACUCUGUCUCAGGAAAAAAAAAAAAGAAAAGAAAAGAAAAA
ensembl:lncRNA